AUUGAACGCUGGCGGCAUGCUUUACACAUGCAAGUCGAACGGCAGCGCGGGCUUCGGCCUGGCGGCGAGCGGCGAACGGGUGAGUAAUACAUCGGAACGUGCCCAGUAGUGGGGGAUAGCUCGGCGAAAGCCGGAUUAAUACCGCAUACGACCUGAGGGUGAAAGCGGGGGAUCUUCGGACCUCGCGCUAUUGGAGCGGCCGAUGGCAGAUUAGCUAGUUGGUGGGGUAAGGCCUACCAAGGCGACGAUCUGUAGCUGGUCUGAGAGGACGACCAGCCACACUGGGACUGAGACACGGCCCAGACUCCUACGGGAGGCAGCAGUGGGGAAUUUUGGACAAUGGGCGAAAGCCUGAUCCAGCAAUGCCGCGUGUGUGAUGAAGGCCUUCGGGUUGUAAAGCACUUUUGGCGGGAACGAAAAGGACUGUGCCAAUACUACGGUUCGAUGACGGUACCCGCAGAAUAAGCACCGGCUAACUACGUG
rnacentral:rRNA from 1 species